rnacentral:tRNA from 1 species
GCCGCUGUAGCUCAGUUGGUAGAGCGACGCUCUCGUAAAGCGUAGGUCACCGGUCCGAUUCCGGUCAGCGGCUCCA